rnacentral:rRNA from 1 species
GAUGAACGCUGGCGGCGUGCCUAAUACAUGCAAGUCGAGCGAACAGGCGAGGAGCUUGCUCCUCUGACGUUAGCGGCGGACGGGUGAGUAACACGUGGAUAACCUACCUAUAAGACUGGGAUAACUUCGGGAAACCGGAGCUAAUACCGGAUAAUAUAUUGAACCGCAUGGUUCAAUAGUGAAAGACGGUUUUGCUGUCACUUAUAGAUGGAUCCGCGCCGCAUUAGCUAGUUGGUAAGGUAACGGCUUACCAAGGCAACGAUGCGUAGCCGACCUGAGAGGGUGAUCGGCCACACUGGAACUGAGACACGGUCCAGACUCCUACGGGAGGCAGCAGUAGGGAAUCUUCCGCAAUGGGCGAAAGCCUGACGGAGCAACGCCGCGUGAGUGAUGAAGGUCUUCGGAUCGUAAAACUCUGUUAUUAGGGAAGAACAAAUGUGUAAGUAACUAUGCACGUCUUGACGGUACCUAAUCAGAAAGCCACGGCUUACUACGUG